rnacentral:piRNA from 1 species
UGAAGACAUUCUUAGUAUUGUAGCC